rnacentral:lncRNA from 1 species
UUCAUUUCAAUUGAAAUUAAACAAAAUAUAGUUCAUAUGAACUUACCAGGCUAAAUUGCAGAAAUACCAAAAUUUAGGAACAUUUUGAAAAUUUCUAUUUUUCUCGAAUUUUCACCCAAUCUUGAUCUAAAUUAAUAUUUUAUUCAAUUUAAUACUUUAAAUAAUAAUAAAAAUUCAUUUUAUGCAAUUUGGUCACUUUUUGACAUUUUUACAAAUUUACCCUUAAAUUUUCACCUUUGUUCAAUUUAGUCCCUGAAGCAUAUAAAUUGGUCAUUUUUAAUAAAAAAAAAACUCAUGCUAGUUGAAUAAUCAUAUAUUUUUCUCCUCCUCCUCUCCAUUCCACAUCCUUAAUAUAUAUAACAUGCUUAUAUGUAACAUUAUCUAUAAUUUCACAUUUAUUUAUAUUCACUCAAAGCUGUCCACUUGAGUUAUAGUCACUAAAUUAUUUAUAUCUUGAGCUAAAGAACUCCAAAUU